ACGCAAGUAUGUACACACACACACACCAGUACUGUAGUCAGUUUUAUUCCGGUACCACGGGUGAGAAAGUCAUACGGAUAGUGAUGGACAAGUGGCUGCUGAAGCGUCACCAGUUUUUUGUCUACCUCAUCACCUUUUUAUCCACAGCGUUUGGCGAUGUAGUGUAUUUCCACGCACAUCGCAACUCCUCCAUCGAGUUCUCCUGCGUGCCUCCUGAAAGGUCCGACAAGCUGUUUGCUUUUUCUCUGACUCGUGAAUGGCUUAAACAGAGAGAAGUGCUGUAUCACAACUUCCAAGAUAAGCCCACUCUUAAAGAUAUGACGUUUAAGGAUCGCAUCUCGGAGCAAACUGAACCCAUGAACUAUAGCAUCCACUUGAGCAUCAGGCACUUGCAGGGCUACGACACCGACAUGUACAUGUGCAUGUUCCACUACAGCAAAACCACAGGCUUUAAUAACCUGUCAGGGAACAAGUUCGUCCUAUACGUCCAGGAUUACCAUAUCGAGCCGUGUAGCUGCUACAGUUACACACCACUGCUGUUCUCUCUGUCUGCUGCAGCAGGACUGCUCUUCUUCAUCAUCCUCAUCCUCACUGCAGUGCACUGUAUGAAGCCACGUAGAGGACAUCAGACCAAGCAAGAGCUCUUGAUUCCCAUCUAUGAGGAGAUGAAUGGUGUGCGAGAGAAGACGAACUCUCGCGUGCAGGAGGAUGACAUCUCAUCUCUCUACGUUCAGCCGAAGAAAGAGAAUCCCUACAUCAACUGAUAUCAACUAAGCUUCAAGACGCUUCCUGUUUGAAGAAAUUAAUUGGCCACAGUAUUCAGUUGAGAGUUUUCUUUGCUGCAUGUUUUGGAUCGUUGUCCUACUGGAAGCUCCACCCACGUCUCAUCUUCAUCAUCCUGGUGGAUGGCAGCAGAUUCUUAUCUAGAAUCUCCCGGUAAAGGGCUCCAUUCAUCGUUCCUUCAAUUAUAUGAAGUCUGCCAGUACCAUGUGAUGAAAAACAGCCGCACACCAUGAUGCUUCCACCUCCAAACUUCACUGUUGGUAUAGUGAUUUAAGGUGCUGUGCAGUUCCAUUUCUUCUCCAAACAUGGUGUUUAGUAUAACAGCCAAAAAGUAAAAUUUUGCUCUCGGCUGACCAGACUACACUCUCCCAGUAUUUCAUAGGCUUGUCCAAAUGAGUUGCAGCAAACUUUAAAUGUGCUUUGACAUGCCUUUUCUUUAGUAAUGGAGUCUUGCAAGGUGAGCGUGAGCAGUGGAGUGCAUUGCCUAUUGUUUUCUCUGUGAUGAUGGCACCUACUGCCUCCAAGUGUUUCUGGAGCUCUUUCCGAGUGGUCCUUGGCUCUUGGGCUAAUCUUCUGACUAUUCUUUUGACUCCCUGGUCAGAAAUCCUGCAAGGAGCUCUUGUGCAUGGCCGGUUGAUGACGGAGUGAUGUUGCUUCCAUUUGCAGAUAAUGGCCCCAAUGGUGCUUACUGGAGGAUGCAGAAGUUUUGAAAUACGUCUGUAUCUGAUUUCAUCAAUAUGUUUUGCAACAAUAAGGUUGCGAAGGACUUGGGAGACCACUUUGCUUUUACCCAUCAUGAGAUGUUUCUUGUGUGACACUUUGGUAAUGAAAAGCCAUUUUAUAGACCAUCAAUUUACUAAAACAUCUGAUAUUAAUUUGCACAGAUAGGGAGUAUAAUUACUUACAGAUUUCAGCUGGUUCCAUGCCUUGGAGAACUUCUUUUUCUUAUCAUGUUCAAUAAUUUUUUCCUGUGUCAUUCCACUUUAUUACACAUAACUUUAAUUAUGGACUUUAAUGUUGUGAAUUCUUUAUAUUUCCAGAUUUCUUGAGUUAAUACUGAUAUCUUGUGAAAAUUUCAUGUGAAUAGCCUCACUUGAAA